UGCUAUCAGGAAACGGGACUCCCUUUCUCCUGGGACCCAAAACAAACAUUUCUGCUCUCCUGUUUCUCUGUUUCUCCUGACCGCGCCCCACCCGGUUUGGAGGUCCACACGUGCCUUAAACCCAGGUCCCUGGCUGCAGAGAGAAGGGGAGGUCCACGAGGAAGGGAUGAACUGGGCUGAAGAGGCUCUUUCGUUUUCGGAACGGGAGGCCUCCGCGGGCAUUUGCAGUUUCCGCCGCCCGUUGCAGCUCGAGAGGGUCUCGUUGCAGAAGCGUUUGGAGAAGGACGCAGCAGGACGCGUGUAGCCAGAACCACACAAUCACGAAAUAGCCAGGACUCCCUCGCUGCCCCUUCUGCCGCCGCCCCCCCAAUAUCGGGGGGGGGGCUCGUUUUGAAGCAGGAAAGGAAAAACAAAAGAGAUAUUUUCCUUGGGAGUGACGAGGGGGGAAGAAAGAGAAUCUUCGGGUUUUUUUUAAAAGCUGCCUUGGUUUUUCUGAUGGCCACCAUCCGAUCCAGCCAAGUGGAAAAGUUUCUCCACUUUCUCAGCCCAUGUCUCCAGCAGAAAAUUUGGGGAUUCCUCGAGGACUUUGGCAUAUGCACCAUUAAUAAACAAAUGAAAAAUAAAUAAAACAACCUUCCCACAGCAAUCUCCUGUUUUAAACAUGGUGGGUUUUUUUUAUACUUGUGAUACGGGAAACAAGCAGACAGGCAAGAAGAAAUAAAUAUAUUGUCCUGAAAGGCUCA
rnacentral:lncRNA from 1 species